GGCGCGGUGGCGGAGUGGUUACGCAGCGGCCUGCAAAGCCGUGAACACCGGUUCGAUUCCGGUCCGCGCCUCCA
rnacentral:tRNA from 2 species